UGGGGAAUUUUCCGCAAUGGGCGAAAGCCUGACGGAGCAAGACCGCGUGGGGGAGGAAGGUUCUUGGAUUGUCAACCCCUUUUCUCAGGGAAGAACAAAAUGACGGUACCUGAGGAAAAAGCAUCGGCUAACUCCGUGCCAGCAGCCGCGGUAAUACGGGGGAUGCAAGCGUUAUCCGGAAUGAUUGGGCGUAAAGAGUCCGUAGGUAGUCAAUCAAGUCUGCUGUUAAAGAGCGAGGCUUAACUUCGUAAAGGCAGUGGAAACUGGAAGACUAGAGUGUAGUAGGGGCAGAGGGAAUUCCUGGUGUAGCGGUGAAAUGCGUAGAGAUCAGGAAGAACACCGGUGGCGAAGGCGCUCUGCUGGGCUAUAACUGACACUGAGGGACGAAAGCUAGGGGAGC
rnacentral:rRNA from 1 species